UCGGAAGUGGCUUUUUCUGCACUUUUUCAGACGCUGUUCCGAAUCCUGCUUAGUCUUUGUCCCUGAAUGUUGGUGUACGGUGAAAAACGAGCACCCUGACUUCGGGGGACUUUGGGGAGCCGGACUGGUUUGGGAGCAGAAACGCAGGUGGAUCUCGGGCGGGCAGAAGUGAGCUGCAGGUAUAUAGGUAGGAAACGUACAUGUGAAAACCAAGAAAUGAUAUCCAUGCAACAGACAAGUAAGGACACAGCCACGAUAAUGUCAAUGAUUCCAUGAGAGUGCACAUUGGAAUGAAGACAUAGGAAUGUCACCUGUGUGGAAAAUCCUUCAGAUGAUGUGGAUGGGUCCAGAAUUCACAAUAGCUGAAGGCUGACCACUGCCAUCCCAGGCCUCUGUGACUUCAUUGCCUCUGCCUCUCCCCCUCUGAAGUGAUAAAACAAUCUGAGACCUUAAGAAGCUGAACACCCUGCUUAUCUGACCCUUUUUUCCUGAGAACAAACUCUGGGCUGCAUCUUUCCAAUGGGCUGCUCUUUCCUGAUAGGCUACCCGUUAGCCCACUGGAAACUGACCCUCCCCCAAACUUCCCAGUAAAAGACUGUGCUCCACCCCUAAGUGGGACCAGAGAUUCUGAGUGUUUAACUCCUCCGCACCUGCCUGCAUAUUAAAAAGUUACUCCUCUCUCUCCGGAGUGCUGCCUUUUUGUUUCUCGGCUGUCUGCUUUUCUGCAACACAGACACUCUUCUUAUCUUUUGCAACAUAAGAGAGUACACAGUUGGGACCAGCA